GAUGAACGCUGGCGGCGUGCUUAACACAUGCAAGUCGAACGUGAGGGGGUAGCAAUAUCCUUGAAAGUGGCGCACGGGUGAGUAAUACGUAGGUAACCUGCCCUGGAGUGGGGGAUAACAACUGGAAACGGUUGCUAAUACCGCAUGAAGCCAAGACACUGGGAAGUGACUUGGUAAAAACUCUGGUGCUUCAGGAGGGGCCUACGGCCGAUUAGCUAGUUGGCGGGGUAAGAGCCCACCAAGGCAUUGAUCGGUAGCUGGUCUGAGAGGACGAUCAGCCACACGGGAACUGAGACACGGUCCCGACUCCUACGGGGGGCAGCAGUGAGGAAUAUUGGGCAAUGGGCGCAAGCCUGACCCAGCAACGCCGCGUGGAGGAAGACGGCCUUCGGGUUGUAAACGUCCUUUUACGGGGUAAGAGGAAGGACGGUACCCGACGAAUAAGUCACGGCUAACUACGUGCCAGCAGCCGCGGU
rnacentral:rRNA from 1 species